CAAAGGCAGAAAAUAAUAAAUGCCAGAGAGGAAUCAACACAGAUCCUUCAUUUAAUCAUCUUUAUUCAGCCUUGUAACCAGCAGCAAAGGUUGCAAAUAUUAAGCUACAAAUGGAAACUGUCAGACCUUUCCAAAGAAUUGUGAGAAGACAGUCUUCACUCAAGUUGCUGUCCUGUUAUGCAAGGCAGAAAGCAUACAUACUCUCCUAAUUUAAGGAAAAAUCACAAUUGCUUUAUGCCCGAGAUCCCAAAGGAAGAGAGUAGAAAGUUGCAAUAAAGCCUUCAUGAAUCUGUGAUUUUAUUUUUAAGACUUAGUGUUUUUAGCAGACACCUGCAUUACAUUUCAAUCUCAUGUUUCUGACUGAUUUUAACAGAAUU